ACAGCUCUGUUCCAAAAUGCCUCAACUAUACAACUUACUGCACAUGAGGAGAUACAUACCACUGAUUAUCACUGUAGCAUCAGGUGUAUUUGCAGAUACAAUUGGACCGAGGGAGGAAGAUGGCAACAUUAUCAGUAAAGAAACAGACAUUGUUACUUUGAAAUGUUCUUACGAGUCAACCAGCAAUGACAUUUUGCUUUACUGGUUCAGACAGCGCUCUAACAGAGCACCACAGUAUUUACUGUACAGAGGCGCAAAGUCAUAUAGCAGCUACAAGAGCACUCCUGCUGACACUCGACUCGAGGCAAAAACAACUGAUACAUCUACUGAACUUACUAUCAGUGGCCUAAAGCUCACAGACACUGCGCUCUACUACUGUGCUCUUAGAGAGGAAAUUGAUUUUGCAUGUGUUGAUCUGAGAGAUUCAAACAUAGCAACAACAAAACUGAUAGCUAUCCCAUCUUUCCAUGGAAGAAAUAAUAGUGAUACUACAAGGUCCUGUAGUCUACUCCAUAAUUAUUCAGCACAAUCUUAA